AUUAAGGUGGCAGAGCAGGUAAUUGCAUAAAACUUAAGCCUUUAUCCCCAGAGGUUCAACCCCUCUCCUUAAUA